rnacentral:rRNA from 1 species
UACGUAGGGUGCAAGCGUUAAUCGAAAUUACUGGGCGUAAAGCGUGCGCAGGCGGUUAUGUAAGACAGAUGUGAAAUGCCCGGGCUUAACCUGGGAACUGCAUUUGUGACUGCAUGGCUAGAGUUUGGCAGAGGGGGGUAGAAUUCCACGUGUAGCAGUGAAAUGCGUAGAUAUGUGGAGGAACACCGAUGGCGAAGGCAGCCCCCUGGGUCAAGACUGACGCUCAUGCACGAAAGCGUGGGGAGCAAACAGG